AAUCCAUGCAUCGAACAUUUCCUAAUUAACUCCUUAAAUCGCUCUCACACUUCAUAUAGUGUUUCAUCUUCAAUUUUUUGAAAGGAUGUAAUAUCAUUUCUCAACUU
rnacentral:snoRNA from 1 species